rnacentral:tRNA from 14 species
GACUUAAAAUCCGUUGGCUUUAUUGACCGUGAGGGUUCAAGUCCCUCUACCCCC